CCUGACUCCCCCUGUGCAAAUGAUGGAAAAAAAGUCACUAUUGGUGAGGGAAAAAAAUGACAUGAACAAAGGAACCACUGAUGCACCAGAAGUCUGGGUGGAAGAGGGUAUGGGGGCAAUGAGGGGCAGCAAGGAUUAAGGCUUCCUUCACCACCCUAGGCCUGAUGGAGAGAAGAAGGCAUAUGUUCGACUGGCUCCUGACUAUGAUGCUUUGGAUGUUGCCAACAAAAUUGGGAUCAUCUAAACUGAGUCCAGCUGGCUAAUUCCAAAUAUAAAAGUUUUCACUAUGUA